GGUCAGGGGCUGGGAUGGGAUUUAAGUGCUGUCAAGAAUCACUGACAUCUCAAUUUGCAUGUAAAUAACUGUCAUAGCCGUGUGCUGCUUCCAGCUCCUGACUUACGCUCUCUCUUUAAGUGGAAACUAUCAAUCUGACACGUGUUACCACCAUUAAGAUGACUGGUGGUAUUUUAUGGAUGCUUCAUGUACCCCUGGUAGUUGGCUUCACAACGAGCUGCAGGUGGACUUGACCUACACAUACAAUCAUCUGGGGGGAGUCUGCUAAGGUCCUGCAGGAAGUAGUUGCUGGGACCCACCCCUUCUCUAAGGUUCUUAGCAAGGCAAAGCAUCCUGUAGUAGUGCUGGGCAGUGGUUCCUUGCAGCGAGAGGAUGGGGCCCGCCGAGACCUGCCAAAGGACAGCCUAAUCAUUUAUCAGGGGCACCAUGGAGAUGCUGGGGCGACGAUGGCUGACAUUCUCCCUGGAGUAGAACACACAGAGAAAUGUAGCACCUAUGAUGAGGGCCGCGCCCAGCAGACCAGGCUGGCUGUGACUGCUCCAGGCAUGGCCAGGCAGGACUGGAAGAUCAUACAGGCCAUAUGUGGUCCUCUGUAGCUCAUCUGGUAGAGCACGGUGCUUGUAACGCCAAGGGUAGUGGGUUCGAUCCC